rnacentral:lncRNA from 1 species
AACUCAUAUGCAAACACAGACAAUCACAUCAACAUCAACAAACACCAAGCAACACUAAUCAAAAUAACAAUAACAAAGCACUUGUAGCCUAAUAUUACUUGUCAAGCAUAUGCGCCUAUGUCCGAUGAUUACCCCAUCGCCUACGAGGUUCUAACACAAUCUAGUUAUGCAGUUAAAAUCUACUUUUUCACCUAAUGCAUCGCAUAUCAUCUUAAUCACUAAGUUUGGUCAUUCUCAUUCGCAUUUAAACGCAUGCAUAUUGCAAAGGAGAGAGGAGAAAAAGCAUAUACAUACAUAUAUGUGUAAUAUACUACUCACAGUAAGACGCUCCAGAGCUAACCUCCAUCCGUCGCACUUAAUGACUCCGGGUUAUCUAGUCACAAAUAUACAAAUUAGAGUUUAUAAAUUUUCUAUUUCUAAUUAACAAUCAUCAAACUAUAUUUUGUUCACCGUCUCAAUUUCUAUUUCCUAGGUCUGUACCUCUACCUCAACUCUAAAUAAUUUCAUGAUUGGGUUAGUAGCUAAUCUUUAAUUUUAUUAAGUUGCAUGGUGGAGUUACUUCAAAAGUAAUGUUUGGUAGAGAUGAGGUAGAAGUGCUAACAUAGAAAUAGAAAUUGAGAAAGUUAACAAAAUAAGAAAAUAUAAAAAUUUAUAUUUAGCUCAAGAAUAGACAACUUAGCUUCUCAAGUAUCGGCUUCUAACUGAUGAUCAGUUCUUCAACUUAACAUGUGCCGAGGCAAAUCUUAUGUUCUUCGAGCUCCAGUCUUCAAGCACAUACCAUUUUUAACAAACUAGAGUAUAACAAAUUUUAUAUUUCUAAUUAACAAUCAUCAAACUAUAUUUUGUUCACUGUCCCAAUUUCUAUUUUCUAGGUCCGUACCUCUACCUCAACUCUAAAUAAUUUCAUGAUAGGGUUAGUAGCUAAUAUUUAAUUUUAUUAAGUUGCAUGGUGGAGUUACUUCAAAAGUAAUGUUUGGUAGAGAUUAGGUAGAAGUACUGACAUAGAAAUAGAAAUUGAGAUAGUUAACAAAAUAAGAAAAAAAAAAGUUAUAUUUAGCUGAAGAAUAGACAACUUAGCUUUUCAAGUAUCAGCUUCUAACUGAUGAUCAGUUCAUCAACUUAACAUGUGCCGAGACAAAUCUUAUGUUCUUCGAGCUCCAAUCUUCAAGCACAUACCAGUUUUAACAAAUUAGAGUUUAAUAAAUUUUAUAUUUCUAAUUAAACAAUUAUCAGACAAUAUUAGAAACAAUGCAAUUCAAACGUCAAACAAACAAAAUAAUUCAGACAAAAAAACUAAAAUAACCCAGCAAGAACUAUGAAGUAACUCCGCCAUGCAACUUAACAAAAUUAAGUAUUAGCUACUAAGCCAAUCAGUCUAUUUGGAUAGUGGCGGCAUUUCUUUCUGACGGCUGAUUGAGAUCAUAAUAAAGAUGCAAACACAGACAAUCACAUCAACAUCAAUAAACACCUAGCAAUACUGAUCAAAAUAACAAUAACAAAGCACUUUAAGCCUAAUAUCACUUGUCAAGCAUAUGCGCCUAUGUCCGAUGAUUACCCCAUCGCCUACGAGGUUCUAACUCAAUCUAGUUAUGCAGUUAAAAUCUACUUUUUCACAUAAUGCCUGCGGGCAUAUCAUCUUAAUCACUAAGUUUGGUCAUUCUCAUUCGCAUUUAAA